GGCAGGACCAUCUAUACUAGAGGUGGGCAAUAAUUUUUGAUGGGGCCACUCUAAGAUUUGGGUCGUAUUAUUGAGAGUCUCAGCAUCCAUGGGCCACCCCAGGCACACCAUGACACUUGAACAAAAGAUCAUCCAUCUUUCCACAGCCUGCACAUUUGGACUCCACCCUCAGAGAGCACAACAUAAGCACCUACUUAGAAGAGAGUGGAAAGGUUGCUCACAGCUAAAAUCAAGUGAAGAAUAUUGAACUGUGUACUGUAAUUGCAAAUUUGCUGCUUUGGGUCACUCCCACUAAUUACAUUUCAAGGCUGUGAUGACCAUUAGCAAGAGACAAUGGAGCUUAACCUUCCUGUGGAUGUGUGGGUUAUCCUGUGACAGAGACAGUGUUGCAGAGACAUGUGACCAUGACACCAUCCAACUCUGUACGUUUCCAUGAGAGCAGGAAAAGGGGGUCAACCUGAAACUCCCACUUUUUGCAAAUCCUAUGUAAGGGUGGGGAGUGAGGUAAUCCUGGACAUCGGUUCUCACCUGGGACUUCACCUCAGAUAACUGCUGGAAACAACAAGACUGAACAAAGUUUUAUGUCAGAAGACGACGAACCUCCGCUAUGAUGACGCCAUGCUAAGACAGCAGUAAACAUGAAAUCAACAUCAACUGAAAUGGCAGAGAUUCCUAGAAUGAUUUAAAAUAUUUAAAAACAAUAAAUAAUAUGAAGUAAU